GACGAACGCUGGCGGCGUGCUUAACACAUGCAAGUCGAACGGAAAGGCCCUGCUUUUGUGGGCUGCUCGAGUGGCGACCGGGUGAGUAACACGUGAGUAACCUGCCCUUGACUUUAGGAUAUCUUCAGGACACUGGGGCUAAUCCCGGAUAGGAGCUCCUGCUGCAUGGUGGGGGUUGGUUAGUUUCGGCGGUUGGGGAUGGACUCGCGGCUUAUCAGCUUGUUGGUGGGGUAGUGGCUUACCAAGGCUUUGACGGGUAGCCGGCCUGAGAGGGUGACCGGCCACAUUGGGACUGAGAUACGGCCCAGACUCCUACGGGAGGCAGCAGUGGGGAAUAUUGCACAAUGGGCGGAAGCCUGAUGCAGCAACGCCGCGUGCGGGAUGACGGCCUUCGGGUUGUAAACCGCUUUCGCCUGUGACGAAGCGUGAGUGACGGUAAUGGGUAAAGAAGCACCGGCUAACUACGUG
rnacentral:rRNA from 1 species